rnacentral:rRNA from 1 species
GACGAACGCUGGCGGCGUGCUUAACACAUGCAAGUCGAACGAAGAGCGACGGAAGCUUGCUUCUAUCAAUCUUAGUGGCGAACGGGUGAGUAACGCGUAAUCAACCUGCCCUUCAGAGGGGGACAACAGUUGGAAACGACUGCUAAUACCGCAUACGAUCUAAUCUCGGCAUCGAGGAUGGAUGAAAGGUGGCCUCUACAUGUAAGCUAUCACUGAAGGAGGGGAUUGCGUCUGAUUAGCUAGUUGGAGGGGUAACGGCCCACCAAGGCGAUGAUCAGUAGCCGGUCUGAGAGGAUGAACGGCCACAUUGGGACUGAGACACGGCCCAGACUCCUACGGGAGGCAGCAGUGGGGAAUCUUCCGCAAUGGACGAAAGUCUGACGGAGCAACGCCGCGUGAGUGAUGACGGCCUUCGGGUUGUAAAGCUCUGUUAAUCGGGACGAAAGGCCUUCUUGCGAAU